rnacentral:rRNA from 3 species
AAAUUGAAGAGUUUGAUCAUGGCUCAGAUUGAACGCUGGCGGCAGGCCUAACACAUGCAAGUCGAACGGUAACAGGAAGCAGCUUGCUGCUUCGCUGACGAGUGGCGGACGGGUGAGUAAUGUCUGGGAAACUGCCUGAUGGAGGGGGAUAACUACUGGAAACGGUAGCUAAUACCGCAUAACGUCGCAAGA